GUUUGCCCAACUGGGCAGAGGGAUCCUCCUUCUCUCAUCACUGGUGCUGGGUCUCCUUAGGCUGAGCUUCUCUUUGUUUAGGUGCUUCUUUCUGCUUGCUCGUGAAGAGUUGGAGUACUUGGUGGAACUGGAAGCUCAUAGGCACUGAAAAUGAGUGUCCAGUCUGUACUGAGCCAGAGCAUCUUACCUGAGAGGCACAGUCUGGUCAACAUGCUUAGAGUUUCCACUCCCUCCACAGCAAAUAUUCUGUGUUUCUAAAAGGAGAAAAAAACGUCUUAAGCAAGUGACUUCCCAAGAGUAACCAAAGUGAAUCUGGCAUAAGGAGUUUCCAAUUACCUUUCUGAAAAUACUUUCAGAGUAAGAGGAUUCAUCGAGAAUACACAAAAUAGUCUUUAUUUUCCUCAAUAAGAUGUUUGAGUCUUCUUGGUUUACAUCUCUUCCAUCUGAGCAAUGUGUGUAAGUAGAUAGCACUUCCUUUGACCUGUGGAAAUUGCUCCACUUUGUGGUGCAAAAUCCACCAAUAAAGACAACUAAAGAACAA